rnacentral:rRNA from 1 species
GCAGCGGAGCGUGUGGUUUAAUUCGAUGCUACACGAAGAACCUUACCAGGGUUUGACAUGCAAGUGGUAGGAACCGAAAGGCGACCGACCUUCGGGAGCUUGCACAGGUGGUGCAUGGUUGUCGUCAGCUCGUGUCGUGAGAUGUUGGGUUAAGUCCCGCAACGAGCGCAACCCUCGACCUUAGUUGCCAGCAUUCAGUUGGGCACUCUAAGGUGACUGCCGGCUAAAAGUCGGAGGAAGGUGGGGAUGACGUCAAAUCAUCAUGCCCCUUAUGACCUGGGCUACACACGUGCUACAAUGGGCGGUACAAAGGGUCGCGAACCCGCGAGGGGGAGCCAAUCCCAAAAAGCCGCUCUCAGUUCGGAUUGCAGGCUGCAACUCGCCUGCAUGAAGCCGGAAUCGCUAGUAAUCGCGGAUCAGCAUGCCGCGGUCGAAUACGUUCCCGGGCCUU